CUAGAAAGGGGGCACGAGAGAUAUAAAAGACUAUGAUAAAGCAUUCAGACUCAGGCUCGGACUUCAUUAUUCAACCGGCUUCCAUUACAACGUCAACUACAACCAGUUGUUCUAUGGAGAGACUGGCCCCAGCCAUGGGAAUCGUGGACUGAAGCACCGCUGGCUAAAGAGGCCCGCCAAUGGAAAUGAGAUCCUUCCCAUUUGCUCGCUCGAGCAGGGAGACAAUUGAAACUAAACUAUCAACUAUUUUCUUCAUUUACCAGGUGCGUGACGUCAUUUAUGGACGGCCCCUAGGGAUCGAAUAGUGACUCGGGUGGAGGGAGCGAGGUGGAGGCUGUGGCGGUGGAGGCGUUCGGGGCGUGAGGUGGUGCUGGUCGGGGUGGCGGAAGAGGAAGCGAAAAAUGCCGGGGAAAGGAGAUAGGAGCUGAUGGCAGCGUGAAAGGAGGAAAGCGAGAGUCGGAUGUGGAGAGGGAGUUUGUUGCAGCGUAAGGGGGCAAGCUGCGAGAAGGAGUGAAAGCGAGAUUGGGGGCAGAAGAUGGGCAGCUUGUGACCGGAGCGGGCGUGGUGGGACAGCUCCUUGUUGGGGGCAGCCAGCAGACACGUGUCUCUAUCUCAGUGGUGCUGAACCAGGGGCUAGCGUAACCCCGGUUUAGAACCACUGAUCUGCCUCGUAAACGGACCACCCUGUAUUAUGUUACCUCUAUUUGAAAGGAAUUAAUUAUACUGUGCAUGCUUACAGGACAGUUUUUGGACAAGAUUGUCAACAGAAUACUUUGACAUACUUUUUCACGUAAAUUUAUUUUUUAAUUAUUGCUGCUUACCUGCGUAUAUGAAACUAAAAUAUGUUUUUUUUUACCAAGUUAGGCCCACUGAGCUAUUUAGCUCAGAAGCAACCUGGCCAUCACAACUGAUAGCUCAACCAAGUUGGCUUAUCACGUGGAAAUUCAUAGCAGCAGCUAAAUACUCUCAACGCGUGAUGUCGAGUCUAAAUGUGGAGGGGGAAACCAACACGGAAGUGUGGAUGUUGGAGCUUGAAUGUUCGGCUUGCGCGAGCGUCUUCUUUGCACAUCCAGAUCGUCGUACAACACAGAGGCUCCCUCGAUGGGUAGGCUUGUCAGCUUGCAGAUACUUUCUUUUUUAAAUUCAAAUGCGUUGGUUGUAGCAAUAACAAGUCACAGAGUCGCUUCCAAUUAGAAUACAAUUUGUCGAGGACCCUCCCGGCUGGCUCGGAGGUCGGAUAUAUUGAACCGGCACCGCUGAGAUAUACUUGGUUCAGAGCAGGGCAGCCACCCGUAAUUAAUCUGACAAACUCAAUGCAUUCGUCAAUAACACUGGGGCCUUGGAAGAAUACAAAAAUAUAUAAAAUAGGCAGCGUUUCACCAUUGUGCGUGAAGAAGGUCCAUUGCCCGAAUGUGACCUAUUUUCUAAAAAAUUUGGGUUAUUUUAAGGCAACAGUGUUGUUGACGAGUGUGCUGAGGGUUUUUUGUUGUUGUUGUUGUUUUGUGUUUAUUGAGUUUGUGCACCACUGCAAAAAUAGCAACAGCAGCUACUUCGUUUAGUUGCCGAUUAAACUGGUUUCGAAGCGUGCCGAGUCAACGGUCUCAACCUCCUCCACAAUGACUGCGACAACAUAACUCAUCGCAAGUUUGGAUCUGCGCUUAAUCCUGCGACAUACAUUCUAGCUUCGAAAGGGAAUAACGCCGUUUGACUGUCAUUUCGCAAUCGCAGAGCAGAGUACGAAAACAUAAGAAUAGGUUUUACCCUUUCUGGCAAUAGAACAGGUGUCAAGAUGUUCAAACACCAAAUGUAAACCUUUUGUGAGGAUUCAAGUCUGCACUAACCACACGUACUUGUGGUGAACAUGCAAACAAACAUGCUUUCAUUAUAAUAUAUGCAUUGUCUUUGAAACUCAUUGUCCUACACCAGAUACGGCCUUUUUUACGGCCUCGUCUCACCGGUGUCAGACCAGAGAACGCCAAA